AAUGGUAAGUAUUUAGGAAGUAAACAAAAGCUUUUGUAUGCAUUAAACCAUUGAGUUUUCCUUUUUUUUUUUUUUUUUCUGUUAUCUCAGUAUUGAUUUUUACCCUGAUGAGGGAGAACAGGCAUAUUUGGUGACUUCCCUGAUGCCCAAAUUAUGAGGCCAUAUAGCACUGGGAUCUAGGCACCAUCUCCUCUUAUCCUCUUAACUGUUUACACAGUGAGUGAUGUCUUUUGGAUGGAGAGCAGAUUCCAGUUUGCAUGCCCAGUUGAGUCUUUCAAAAGCAAUCAGUCUGGUGGUAAAACAACAAUAUUUAGCGAAGCCUCUGGGGAUCAUGAAUGAUAUGCAUGAAUUAUGCAUAUAUGCAUCCACAAAGGCAAACACAUGUAUGCUUACCAUAGGCUUAUCUACCCGGCUUCACACAACAAGGUUGGAAAUAGGGGAAUCAAGUGAAAAGUGACAGCUGGCAAAAUUUCUACCUUGCCCUUUGCCUAUCUGAAUGCAGGUGUUUUGCUUUGAGGUCACGGUAAUGUGUGUAAGUAGUGCACAUAGGAAAGCCUGCUUGAAUUACUGCCAUCACUAGAAGAAAUCUGUCUUGUUCCCAAAAAGCACACCAGUCCCCUCCCCUCUCAUUCUGACAACCAGCAGCAAUGCUGCCCUAUCUUCCAGCAACAGCCCAUCCUCUAAAAGGUGAAUCUGAGAUAAUCAGCAAUAAAGCUGACUUAUCUCUGGGCUGUGACCAAUAUCAGUUUCUCCACAUGCUCACGCGGAGCAGAACAUUUCUGAAGCCUGCUCACAGCAGACACACAGUGGAAGUCCUCCCAAAGCAUCCAGGCUCCUCCUUCCCUGCCAUCAAGGUGAGAUGGGUGUCUAAAUACCCAUCUAAAUACUCAGCAAUACACAUGCUGCUGUCUUGGUAAAGUGCUCUAAAGCAGAUGCUACGGAUUUGGCAGUGGAGAGGCUCAGUGAAGCAGGCUCUCAUGGAAAAAUAAAAGAUAAUAUGAGAGGAAGAUAAUUGUGCUG
rnacentral:lncRNA from 1 species